rnacentral:lncRNA from 1 species
CUCUUUCAUGGGACAUUCGUGUGUUUUUUUGGAAUUCAUUCCGGUGGGAAGUGACACAGGCCACUCUCUUAGGCAGGUCCCAUGAAGACAGCUUGAGCAUGCUUACCUUCCGUUGCAUCUGUGAGUCGGUGGGAAGCACUUGCAUCCUCGCCACCCAGAAGUCUAGAUUGCUCCAGUUCAGCUCUCUCUUUACCUUCAUGGCAAAUGGCUGCACCUGGCCUCCUGCUUGCUAUAGUCACCAGCUGCAAAACAAAUAUAGAAAAGCAAGGCCUGAGGUCAUGCUAUGCAAACCAACCCCUGGGAUCCAUCUGGUCCAACAACCUCAGCUCAUUGAGAAAAGGUAUAGCUGGCCUGCAAAGUUAUCUCAACACCAUUUAUUAAAAGACCAACUUCAUCCCAGUGAUCUGAGACGCCACUUUGAUCAUAUGCUAGAUUGUUGCAUUUUGUUGGCUCUGUUUCUGGACUUCGUUUUACUCCACUGGGAUGCCUGUCUGUUCAUGUACC